UGGCAUGACGGACAUUGUUGACAAGCC
rnacentral:piRNA from 1 species